rnacentral:rRNA from 1 species
AACGAACGCUGGCGGCGUGGAUUAGGCAUGCAAGUCGAACGUGAAAGGAGGGGCAACCCUCCGAGUAGAGUGGCGAACGGGUGAGUAUCGCGUGGGCAAUCUGCCCUGGAGUGGGGAAUAACCAUCCUAACGGGUGGCUAAUUCCGCAUGUGACCGUUGGGGGGCAUCUCCUGGCGAUUAAAGGUGGGGAUCCGUUCGGACCUGCCGCUUGAGGAGGAGCCCGCGUCCCAUUAGCUUGUUGGCGGGGUAACGGCCCACCAAGGCUACGAUGGGUAGCCGAUCUGAGAGGAUGACCGGCCACACUGGGACUGAGAUACGGCCCAGACUCCUACGGGAGGCAGCAGUCGAGAGGCUUCGGCAAUGGGGGAAACCCUGACCGAGCGACGCCGCGUGGGGGAUGAAGGCUCUUGGGUCGUAAACCCCUGUCAAGCGGGACGAAAUGCUCUGAGGUGAUAAACCGAGGGGCUUGACGGUACCGCCAGAGGAAGCUCCGGCUAACUCCGUGCCAGCAGCCGCGGUAAUACGGGGGGAGCAAGCGUUGUUCGGAAUCACUGGGCGUAAAGGGCGUGUAGGCGGCCCUGCAAGUCGGAGGUGAAAUCCACUGGCUCAACCAGUGAAGUGCCUUCGAAACUGCUUGGCUUGAGUAUGGCAGAGGGAAGCGGAAUUCCAGGUGUAGCGGUGAAAUGCGUAGAUAUCUGGAAGAACACCGGUGGCGAAGGCGGCUUCCUGGGCCAAUACUGACGCUGAUGCGCGAAAGCCAGGGGAGCAAACGGGAUUAGAUACCCCGGUAGUCCUGGCCGUAAACGUUGGAUACUAGGUGUAGGAGGUAUCGACCCCUUCUGUGCCGCAGCUAACGCAUUAAGUAUCCCGCCUGGGGAGUACGACCGCAAGGUUGAAACUCAAAGGAAUUGACGGGGGCCCGCACAAGCGGUGGAGUAUGUGGUUUAAUUCGACGCAACGCGAAGAACCUUACCGGGGCUUGACAUGCACAGGACAGGCGUAGAAAUACGUCCUCCUUUCGGGGUCUGUGCACAGGUGCUGCAUGGCUGUCGUCAGCUCGUGUCGUGAGAUGUUGGGUUAAGUCCCGCAACGAGCGCAACCCUUGUCCUUAGUUGCCAUCAUUCAGUUGGGAACUCUAAGGAGACUGCCGGUGACAAACCGGAGGAAGGUGGGGAUGACGUCAAGUCCUCAUGGCCCUUACGCCCCGGGCUACACACGUGCUACAAUGGUCGGUACAGAGGGUUGCAAUGCCGCGAGGCGGAGCUAAUCCCAAAAAGCCGGCCUCAGUUGGGAUCGUAGUCUGCAACUCGACUACGUGAACGCGGAAUCGCUAGUAAUCGCGGAUCAGCACGCCGCGGUGAAUACGUUCCCGGGCCUUGUACACACCGCCCGUCAAGUCAGCCGAAUUGAGUGCUCCCUAAGACGCUGUACCAACCCGCAAGGGAGGGAGGCGCCCAAGGUGUGCUUGGUGAGGGGGACUAAGUCGUAACAAGGUAGCCGUAUCGGAAGGUGCGGCCGCUCAAC